GAUGAACGCUGGCGGCGUGCCUAAUACAUGCAAGUCGAGCGAACGGACGAGAAGCUUGCUUCUCUGAUGUUAGCGGCGGACGGGUGAGUAACACGUGGAUAACCUACCUAUAAGACUGGGAUAACUUCGGGAAACCGGAGCUAAUACCGGAUGAUAUUUUGAACCGCAUGGUUCAAAAGUGAAAGACGGUCUUGCUGUCACUUAUAGAUGGAUCCGCGCUGCAUUAGCUAGUUGGUGAGGUAACGGCUUACCAAGGCAACGAUGCAUAGCCGACCUGAGAGGGUGGUCGGCGAGAGUGGGACUGAGGCGGGGUCCGGGGGCCUGCGGGGGGGGGCAGUAGGGAAUCGUGGGCAAGGGGCGGAGGCCUGACGGAGCGAGGCCGCGUGAGUGAUGAAGGUCUUCGGAUCGUAAAACUCUGUUAUUAGGGAGGAACAUAUGUGUAAGUAACUGUGCACAUCUUGACGGUACCUAAUCAGAAAGCCACGGCUAACUACGUG
rnacentral:rRNA from 1 species